rnacentral:rRNA from 1 species
AUGCUUGGGUACAGUGGUGCUGGCCUGUCGUCUGCAGGGAUGCAAAGGAAGCAGCCCCGAUCAAUUCCUACGACCAACCUCCCCGAGGGCUGCAACCUGUUCGAUGAAAUGUCAAUCCCUACGCCAACGGCCGACGAGCCCAACUACAACGCGUUCAUGGAGAACGUCAUCUACGAGGGCCAUUGCCAUGCCUUCCACACCAAGGGCCACGACCAAAGCUACGAUCCCGACACAGCCCAAAGCCAAGACGACCGCAGCCAAGAUGGUGUCGACGAAGAAGAAGAGGCCGACGACCAUGGCAACUCAUGGCAUGAAGGUGAGGAUAUCUAUUGCGAAGAUGAGGAAGAAGAGGGCGUCAACUAG